rnacentral:sRNA from 1 species
UAUACAUGGAGAACGGACUUACACUCAUAGAGGAGACAGGACUAAAGAUGAUAUCCUAGAAUUUGUUUUAAAAGCACAAGGACCCACUGUUAGGAAACUAAGCAGUGUUGGCAAGUUUAAUGAAGCACUUGGUCAGCACAGUGGCUCUGUAUUCUUUCUCUACGUUGGAAACGAGGACGAACAUGAAGAUCUUUAUAAAAAGUUCCACCAUUCAGCAGACAAUCAUGCUAUCCACUCCUACUUUUACCAGGGGAAGAAACACAUUUUAGAAGAUCGAAACCUAAAAAGACAUCCAACAAUUUUAGUCUUUAAAGAUAAACAGUUCUUGGAAUUUGAACGUAAG